GACGAACGCUGGCGGCGUGCCUAAUACAUGCAAGUAGAACGCUGAGGACUGGUGCUUGCACUGGUCUAAGGAGUUGCGAACGGGUGAGUAACGCGUAGGUAACCUACCUCAUAGCGGGGGAUAACUAUUGGAAACGAUAGCUAAUACCGCAUGACAAUAGGGUACACAUGUACCCUAUUUAAAAGGGGCAAAUGCUUCACUAUGAGAUGGACCUGCGUUGUAUUAGACUAGUUGGUAAGGUAACGGCUUACCAAGGCGACGAUGGGUAACCGGCCUGAGAGGGUGAACGGUCACAUUGGAACUGAGACACGGUCCAA
rnacentral:rRNA from 1 species